rnacentral:rRNA from 1 species
UACGUAGGGCGCAAGCGUUUAUCCGGAAUUAUUGGGCGUAAAGAGCUCGUAGGCGGUUUGUCGCGUCUGCCGUGAAAGUCCGGGGCUCAACUCCGGAUCUGCGGUGGGUACGGGCAGACUAGAGUGAUGUAGGGGAGACUGGAAUUCCUGGUGUAGCGGUGAAAUGCGCAGAUAAUCAGGAGGAACACCGAUGGCGAAGGCAGGUCUCUGGGCAUUAACUGACGCUGAGGAGCGAAAGCAUGGGGAGCGAACAGG